CAAGUAUAUACAUACUUGCACGAUGUGUUCUAAUAGCAUAUAUAAUUCCAUCAAAUUUUUACGAAUAAAUUGAACAAAAUUUUUUAAUAAUUUUAUUUUAUAAAAGUGUGGUGUACACUUUAAUCAUAUUGAUCACUUGUUCUAAUAAAGUUCGAAGUAAUUAAUAUGUUAAAAAUGAAUGCACAAUAAAAAAAAAUUUGACGCACGAAAUGCGAAUUCACUGGAGAUCAAUGAGAAUUCGUCACGUUAUGUGUACAAUGUGGAACCUUUUCUUGAAAUGAGAAGGCUUGCUUUGUUUAUUUUGAAACAUAGUAUUGUAAUAUAUCGGAGAAAAAAGUGAUUUUGCACAAUUAACGUGAAAACAGAUAUUUGUCGAACAAUGGACAUCUUGAAACCUGAGUUGGUUUGGGUAGAUGGUCGAUGCUACAGGGUAUUAGAAAAUACUAAGCGUAUAAAUGAUGUUUCUUCUUACUUUGAAGAUAAUAAUUACCAGCUGGAUGACAAAGAUGCUGAGGAUGAAUGUUACGACAGCAAUAUAGAAAUUGUACCAUACGGAUCAACAAAAUUUAAACAUGCAUUUCACGUACCAAAAGCAUUUUUCCCAUUUAUCAUUGGAGCCAAACAUGCUGUACAUAAGAGAUUGGAAACUGAGACUAAAACAGUAAUACAAAUACCAAAGUUUGGCCAAGAUGGAGAUAUUGUCAUAAUUGGUAACGACUGCAAAGGAAUAAUAAGUGCACGUCAUAGAAUUAAUCUAUUAAUGGAGGCAUCUAGGAAAAAGAUAAAAUUUACACAUUUUUUAUCGAUACCUCUAAAUGAUGGCCAUGUAAUAAUGAAAUUUAAUAUGUUUAAAAACGAAGUAUUGACAAAUUCAGGAAAAACAUCCAGAGGUGUGGAUGAAACAAUUUUUCAGACACCAAGUAAAUUACAUCUUACCAUUGGGGUAAUGAAAUUGCUUGAUGAUGCAGAAAGAAAUCAAGCUGUAGAAGCUUUAAAUUAUUGCAACGAGCAUAUUGUAAAGCCUACUAUUGAAAAAUAUGGACAAAUUCCUAUAUUCUUACAAGGAACUGAAAUAAUGAAUGAUGAUCCUGCUGAAGCAGGAGUUUUAUAUGCAAAGGUAGUCGACAAAACUGGAGUUUUACAAAAAAUGGUAGAGGAAAUUGUAGAUUAUUACAUCAAAAUAGGUUUAAUAGAUAGAAAAUACCAGACUGUUAAACUGCACCUAACCCUUAUGAAUACAACGUUUAAAUUGACUAAAGAAGAAAGAAAUGGUAAAAACUUCAUAACAUUUGAUGCCACCGAAAUAAUGAAAGCUCAUGAAAAUACAAUCUUUGGAGAAACUACAUUAAAGCAAAUUCACAUAUCGCAACGUCAUACAAUCAGUAGUAAUGGAUACUAUAUAGCAACAGCAAAAAUUAAUCUACUUGAAGGUGAACUCGUGUAAAAACUUGAAAAUUUGAUUUUUCUAUAUAAUACAGCCUUUAGAUAUAUUUGCAUAUCAUCAAAAAUAAUAAUAAAUAAGUCUGCUGAAUUAAGUUCCUACAUAAUUUAAUCUUUAGAUGCAAAAAAUGUUCGUGUACAUGUAUAUUCAGAAAAAUUAAUUUUUCGAAUUAUAAGCAAAAAAGUAUGUUUAUAUAUGAAAUGUGUUUGUGUCACAUCAGCAAUUAAAAAUAAUUGGACAAAAACAUUUUUUAAUUCGUGUUUCUAACAAGAAGGCCUAGGUGCCAUGAAUUCAGAUAUAUUAAUGUAAGUUUUUAACUUUUCUUUUAAAGCUCUACCUAUUCUUAACUUCUUACAGGUUUUACAUAGAGAAAAGAAUUAUUAAAUUAGAAUGUUUAAUUAAAAAAUAUUAGUAUUUGUACUGAAUUUCUGACAUUUUUUAUUUACUUUACUAAUGUUCUACUUCAAUUGACUGUCACAGGCUACCAAUGACUCAUGAGACACAAAAUGAGCUCAAAAAUUUAAUAUUCAUUUUCAAAUUGCAAUAAUUCUUUUCUUCAGUUAAUUAAAAAAUAAAAAAUUUGUAUGAUAUAUAGAAACUUAUUUUUUAUUACAUUAGUAUUUUUUCAAGUGAAAAAAUUUGUUUCUUUAUUAAUUUCCGAUUAGUUAUUUUUAAAGAAAUUACAAAGGUCAUAAGAGUAACAACGCGUGCAUUUUUCUAGAUCUUGAAAAUUUAGAAUGUUACUGUUUGUAUUUUUUAAACACAAGAGAGCUUCAUGUACCGUAUUUUUAUACAAACUCAGAAUAAAAUAUUUUUUUGAA